UACGUAGGGGGCAAGCGUUGUCCGGAUUUACUGGGCGUAAAGCGCACGUAGGCGGAUUGUUAAGUCAGGGGUGAAAUCCCGGGGCUCAACCCCGGAACUGCCUUUGAUACUGGCAUUCUCGAGUCCGGAAGAGGUGAGUGGAAUUCCGAGUGUAGAGGUGAAAUUCGUAGAUAUUCGGAGGAACACCAGUGGCGAAGGCGGC
rnacentral:rRNA from 1 species